ensembl:lncRNA
UCCACGUCAGGUCCUGCCUUGCACAGAGGAGCCAUGAACCCCAGAACACGUGUUCCUCUGUGCUUCUCCUCUCUCUAUUGGAUCUGGUGUUUCUGCUAUAUGUUCAACAAUAGGAAAAGUAAUCUUAGCUGUUUUAAAAUUACACCAAGUUUAUUUCGGAUUAUUCCAACGGAAGAAUACAAGGCGCAGGGAACUUUGAGGUGCGUAAACGCUAUUUAGAGGUGCGUAAACGCUAUUUAUAGGUGCGUAAAUGCUAUUUCCAAAAUUCUAGAUGUGCGUAAACGGCGUUUACGUACGUUUACCCUCCACUACAGCCCUGCUUAUAGGGGCUGUGUAAUAAACAUCUAUAAGCUGUGUAAUAAACACCUCUGGGGGCUGUGUAUUAAACAUCCAUAAGGCUGUAAUAAACAUAUAUACGUCUAUGUAAUAAACACAUAUAGGGGCUGUGUAAUAAACAUCUAUAAGCUGUGUAAUAAACACAUAGGGGCUGUGUAAUAAACAUCUAUAAGUCUGUGUAAUAAACACAUAUAGGGGCUGUGUAAUAAACAUCUAUAAGUCUGUGUAAUUAACAUAUAGGGGCUGUGUAAUAAACAUAUAAGUCUGUGUAAUUAACACAUAGGGGCUGUGUAAUAAACAUCUAUAAGUCUGUGUAAUUAACAUAUAGGGGCUGUGUAAUAAACAUCUAUAAGUCUGUGUAAUAAACACAUAUAGGGGCUGUGUAAUAAACAUCUAUAAGUCUGUGUAAUAAACACAUAUAGGGGCUGUGUAAUAAACAUCUAUAAGUCUGUGUAAUAAACACAUAUAGGGGCUGUGUAAUAAACAUCUAUAAUCCUGUGUAAUAAACACAUAUAGGGGCUGUGUAAUUAACCCUUAGGACAGAUGACAAUGAACAUGAGGCGGAUUUCCUGCUACAUCAAUCUGAGUCAUCGAGGCUCAUUGUUCAUACCUCCUGUUGGCGAACGCCGCUCCUGCACCAGUCAAACUAGUCAAACUCCAUUUUUAACUGGACCAUUAUUUGAAAACUUGGACCCCCCCCACAUCCCACACAAGCUGAAUGCUUUGAGUAUGCGGCUCAUGCUUCGGCUGUCUGAAUUGCAUUCUGGGAGGCCGUGCGGCUCGCACACUUCCCUGCUGGGGGAAAGCGGCCUGCGGAAGGGCACUGGUGGCCUGCAGCAUCAAAUGAAGAUAGGCUGGUGGAUGCGAGCACUUGCCCCC